rnacentral:rRNA from 1 species
GCUGGCGGCGUGCCUAAUACAUGCAAGUCGUACGCUUCUUUUUCCACCGGAGCUUGCUCCACCGGAAAAAGAAGAGUGGCGAACGGGUGAGUAACACGUGGGUAACCUGCCCAUCAGAAGGGGAUAACACUUGGAAACAGGUGCUAAUACCGUAUAACAAUCGAAACCGCAUGGUUUUGAUUUGAAAGGCGCUUUCGGGUGUCGCUGAUGGAUGGACCCGCGGUGCAUUAGCUAGUUGGUGAGGUAACGGCUCACCAAGGCUACGAUGCAUAGCCGACCUGAGAGGGUGAUCGGCCACAUUGGGACUGAGACACGGCCCAAACUCCUACGGGAGGCAGCAGUAGGGAAUCUUCGGCAAUGGACGAAAGUCUGACCGAGCAACGCCGCGUGAGUGAAGAAGGUUUUCGGAUCGUAAAACUCUGUUGUUAGAGAAGAACAAGGAUGAGAGUAACUGUUCAUCCCUUGACGGUAUCUAACCAGAAAGCCACGGCUAACUACGUGCCAGCAGCCGCGGUAAUACGUAGGUGGCAAGCGUUGUCCGGAUUUAUUGGGCGUAAAGCGAGCGCAGGCGGUUUCUUAAGUCUGAUGUGAAAGCCCCCGGCUCAACCGGGGAGGGUCAUUGGAAACUGGGAGACUUGAGUGCAGAAGAGGAGAGUGGAAUUCCAUGUGUAGCGGUGAAAUGCGUAGAUAUAUGGAGGAACACCAGUGGCGAAGGCGGCUCUCUGGUCUGUAACUGACGCUGAGGCUCGAAAGCGUGGGGAGCAAACAGGAUUAGAUACCCUGGUAGUCCACGCCGUAAACGAUGAGUGCUAAGUGUUGGAGGGUUUCCGCCCUUCAGUGCUGCAGCUAACGCAUUAAGCACUCCGCCUGGGGAGUACGACCGCAAGGUUGAAACUCAAAGGAAUUGACGGGGGCCCGCACAAGCGGUGGAGCAUGUGGUUUAAUUCGAAGCAACGCGAAGAACCUUACCAGGUCUUGACAUCCUUUGACCACUCUAGAGAUAGAGCUUCCCCUUCGGGGGCAAAGUGACAGGUGGUGCAUGGUUGUCGUCAGCUCGUGUCGUGAGAUGUUGGGUUAAGUCCCGCAACGAGCGCAACCCUUAUUGUUAGUUGCCAUCAUUCAGUUGGGCACUCUAGCAAGACUGCCGGUGACAAACCGGAGGAAGGUGGGGAUGACGUCAAAUCAUCAUGCCCCUUAUGACCUGGGCUACACACGUGCUACAAUGGGAAGUACAACGAGUCGCGAAGUCGCGAGGCUAAGCUAAUCUCUUAAAGCUUCUCUCAGUUCGGAUUGUAGGCUGCAACUCGCCUACAUGAAGCCGGAAUCGCUAGUAAUCGCGGAUCAGCACGCCGCGGUGAAUACGUUCCCGGGCCUUGUACACACCGCCCGUCACACCACGAGAGUUUGUAACACCCGAAGUCGGUGAGGUAACCUUUUGGAGCCAGCCGCCUAAGGUGGGAUAGAUGAUUGG